rnacentral:rRNA from 1 species
CGCCUCUUGAAUAUUUAUAAGAGGUCCAGCCUGCCCAGUGACCAUGUUCAACGGCCGCGGUAUCCUAACCGUGCGAAGGUAGCGUAAUCACUUGUUCUUUAAAUGUGGACUAGUAUGAACGGCACCACGAAGGUUAUACUGUCUCCUUUUUCUAAUCAGUGAAACUAAUCUCCCCGUGAAGAAGCGGGAAUAAAGUUAUAAGACGAGAAGACCCUAUGGAGCUUAAAACUACAUAGCACUUGCCACAUAGUAUAAAAAUUUCCGAAAAUUUUAAUUUAUAUUGACAAUUUGACUAUAAGUUUUUGGUUGGGGUGACCGCGGAGAAUAGCACAACCUCCAUGAUGAAUGAACUGUUUCUAAACUAAGACCUACCGGUCUAAGUAUCAACAUAUUGACAUCCAUUGAUCCAAUAUAAUUGAACAACGAACCAAGUUACCCUAGGGAUAACAGCGCAAUCUACUUCAAGAGCUCCUAUCGACAAGUAGGUUUACGACCUCGAUGUUGGAUCAGGGUAUCCCAGUGGUGCAGCCGCUACUAAAGGUUCGUUUGUUCAACGAUUAAAAC